CAGGCCUAACACAUGCAAGUCGAGCGGCAGCGACUUAACUGAACCUUCGGGGAACGUUAAGGGCGGCGAGCGGCGGACGGGUGAGUAAUGCCUGGGAAUAUGCCCUGAUGUGGGGGAUAACUAUUGGAAACGAUAGCUAAUACCGCAUAAUCUCUUCGGAGCAAAGAGGGGGACCUUCGGGCCUCUCGCGUCAGGAUUAGCCCAGGUGGGAUUAGCUUGUUGGUGAGGUAAUGGCUCACCAAGGCAACGAUCCCUAGCUGGUCUGAGAGGAUGAUCAGCCACACUGGAACUGAGACACGGUCCAGACUCCUACGGGAGGCAGCAGUGGGGAAUAUUGCACAAUGGGGGAAACCCUGAUGCAGCCAUGCCGCGUGUGUGAAGAAGGCCUUCGGGUUGUAAAGCACUUUCAGUAGGGACGAAGGUAGUGUAGUUAACACCUGCACUAUUGGACGUUACCUACAGAAGAAGCACCGGCUAACAUCCGAUGCCAGCAGCCGCGGUAAUACGGAGGGUGCGAGCGUUAAUCGGA
rnacentral:rRNA from 1 species